CUUAUGAGUCGAGUGCGCGUUUCUGUAGCAAUACAGGAAUGGCGCACGGCGCACGGGUGCGUAACACGUGGGUAAUCUGCCCUCUGAUGGGGAAUAACCCGCCGAAAGGCGGGCUAAUUCCGCAUAACAUUCCUUGGACUCCGGUUCGAGGAUUCAAAGGCGUAAGUCGUCGGAGGUGGAGCCCGCGCCCGAUUAGCUAGUUGGUGAGGUAACGGCUCACCAAGGCAAUGAUCGGUAGCUGGUCUGAGAGGAUGGCCAGCCACACUGGAACUGAGACACGGUCCAGACUCCUACGGGAGGCAGCAGUGGGGAAUCUUGCACAAUGGGCGAAAGCCUGGUGCAGCGACGCCGCGUGGGGGAUGAAGCUUCUCGGAGUGUAAACCCCUUUCGACCCGGACGAAUGCCCCGCAAGGGGAGUGACGGUACGGGUAUAAGAAGCCCCGGCUAACUACGUGCCAGCAGCCGCGGUAAGACGUAGGGGGCCAGCGUUGUUCGGAAUUACUGGGUGUAAAGGGUUCGUAGGCGGUGUAGCAAGUUGGGAGUGAAAUCUCUGGGCUCAACUCAGAGGCUGCUUCCAAAACUGCUGUGCUGGAGUGUGGGAGAGGCGCGUGGAAUUGCAGGUGUAGCGGUGAAAUGCGUAGAUAUCUGCAGGAACACCCGUGGCGAAAGCGGCGCGCUGGACCACUACUGACGCUGAGGAACGAAAGCUAGGGGAGCAAACAGGAUUAGAUACCCUGGUAGUCCUAGCCCUAAACGAUCAGGACUUGGGGUGCCACCCGUUCGGGUGUCGUCCCGGAGCUAACGCGUUAAGUCCUGCACCUGGGGAGUACGGUCGCAAGACUGAAACUC
rnacentral:rRNA from 1 species